rnacentral:RNase_P_RNA from 1 species
UGGAGCGGGUGCAUGAUCGCUCAGGUGUUUAAAAAAAAUCUGAGAGGAAAGUCCGAACUCCGCAGGGCAGGAUGGUUCGUAACACGAACGCCGGGUGACCGGCGGAAAGUGCCACAGAAAAUAUACCGCCGGAUCUUCUGAUUCGGUAAGGGUGAAAUGGCGAGGUAAAAGCUCACCGCUUGUAUAGUGAUAUACAAGGCAGGGUAAACCCCAUCCGGAGCAAGACCAAAUAGGAAGACGUCCCACGGGCUGCCCGCCCGAAGUCUUCGGGUAGGUUGCAAGAGGUGUCGGGCGACCGGCAUCCCAGUGAAAUGAUCAUGACCCCGUAAGGGGAACAGGAUUCGGCUUAUAGCCCGCUCCAUUUC